AUUGAACGCUGGCGGCAGGCCGAACACAUGCAUGUCGAGCGAGCGGCGGACGGGUGAGUAAUGUAUGGGGACUGCCCGAUAGAGGGGGAUAACUACUGGAAACGGUAGCUAAUACCGCAUACUAUCGGAUAACCCAUAUGGGAUUAGCUAGUAGGUGAGGUAAGGGCUCACCUAGGCGACGAUCCCUAGCGGGUCUGAGAGGAUGAUCAGCCACACUGGGCCUGGGCUACGGCACAGACCGCUACGGAGGCAGCAGUGGGGAAUAUUGCAAAAUGGGCGCAAGCCUGAUGCAGCCAUGCGGGGGGUAUGAAGAAGGCCCUUGGGUUGUAAAGUAAUUUCAUUCGGGAGGCGUUACCGACAGAAGAAGCACCGGCUAACUCCGUGCCAGCAGCCGCGGUAAUAC
rnacentral:rRNA from 1 species